ensembl:lncRNA
ACAGAGAAAUUCCAGGCAACUUUAAUCCAUCCGGAGAAGGAAAAGUUUCCGUGCAGUGCUGAGAAGGGAGAGGCGGGUCGCCACCACCUUAGGCGACGCCCGGUUGGAAAGCUCGAGGUGGGCGUCCAGAUGUCUGUCCCCUCGAAGAGCUCGCUCUUGGACUCCAGCGCGCUCCCUCGUCUCUAUCAGGGCCCGCGCUCAGCACAGGCCGGCUCCGCGCAGCCUGGCCCGGCAGCAGCUCCGCGGCUGGCGCGAGGGUGGCGAGGCGGGAACCGGUUGCCCCAUGGAGACAGGGGUUGGAGAAAUGAGGGAGCGGGAAAUCCAGCUACUACGCCCCGACCCGGGCCCGUCCUGCUCGAAGCGUGGACUCCAGCCUCCAACCCAUCAACGCUGCAGGACGGCGAGGGGCUCGGCCAGCGACAGCUCCGGAGCCCCCCUCUCUUCUCUCAGCGCUGGGAUCCAGUGGGGCUUGUGGCCGCUGCGUUUCUCCCGGGUAGAUGCCACUGCAGUCUCCGAUGUUCCCUUUCAAAGGAUGCAAGCUCCCCGCCGGCGCCGGAGGUGUUCUGCAGCCGUUCUGCCAGAGGCUCGGGUAGGGGCACCCCACCCCCACCCCCAGAGUCUGCUUGGGGCUUUCCAGGGACCCAGAGUGGGAAUCAGCCUAGCUGGUGCGCCUAGCUCCUCUCAGGUCCCGCCGUGUGGGAGCUCUCUGGUUCUGCGUCUUCCUGCGGUGCACGGAGGAGCGGAGGAGAGGAAGGCACAGCCUGGGGCAGACCCAGCCGGCCAGCCGUAGAGGGGUCGGAGAGGACGGGAUGCCUGCCUACAGAUCAGACCGGACAAGUCAACUGUCUAUCAGUCUUUGGAUCCAUGGCGGUGAUUUUACAGCAUCAGAGAAAUGGCAUCUUGUUUAUGGAAAACGGACUUGGAUCGCUCUUAAGAUCCCCCCUCCACCCUGGCUGCUGGCUGUGUCCCUGCUUCAGCUUGGCACUGGGACCCAGGAGACUGCUCUCGCCCCUCCCCAACCCCACAUCUGCCUGGAACCGGAGGUGUGGCCUGAGGAAACUGGCUGGGCUUUUGCAGGUCUUGGGGAUAGGAGGUGCUGGAGUAGUCAGAGAUGAUUCUCAUUAGGCCUGUAAUGCCUGGUGGCAAUUAAUGUCACCCAAGGGCUUAUUACCCAUCCCACUGAGAGGCAAACCAGCAAUCAGGCUGUGUGUGGGAGAAGGGGAAAGGAGCAACCUCCUGAGGCAGGGAGGGCUCUAGAAGGGGGCAGGAAUUGGGGAGUGGUCCUUUUAUCCCUGCCCACUUGCCUCAUUGGAAGAGACCCAAAACUGAGGUUGGUCGGAAAGAAGGUAGAAAGCAAGGUUGUUUCUUCAGUGAUACUGACCAAAGAUGUUCAUCUUCACAGUACUUCAAAGCUGCCCAGGAGCCUGAAGGUCCUCGGCUUCAGCCCGUUCCCCUGGCCAUCUCUGAAAACUGGCAGGGUCUUCUCUGGUUAGGGUCGUCCAGUGACUCAGACACGGGCUUCUCUCUGCCCUGACUUCAUUUCUCUUCCUUCCUCCCUUCCUUUUAUACCAGCACUGAGUAUCUCCAGCAUCACAGGCAUUAUUGGCCCAACAGUGAGCAAGAGAGAAGUACCCCUUGCCUCAUGAAUUCCCACUCUAGAGGAGAAGGCAGAACACAGAGCUUCUACCCAGAGAUGGCUAUGACUCCUGGUGUUGCAUGCUUUUGCUCAUCUUAAGAAGACCUGUGUCAGGAAGGGCAAGGGAACCGUGAUUUCUGCCCUGCUCUUCCUGUACCUGCCGUGUGGACCUGCCCUUCAUGGACUGGGGCCCCCUGCUGGCCUUUGAAACUUCACUAUAAUUGGAAGUGGCGUGGAAAUAUCAUCUCCAUUUAGAGAAGAGGAAGCUGAGGUUCAGAGAAGCAAAGUAACUUGCUCAAGGUUACACAGCUACAAAGUGGCUGAGCUGAG